CUGUCGCUGUCUGAUACAUGCACUAUUGACCAGUCUGCAAAGUACAAAGGGGCAUAACUCUGUCAGUGUGGAUCCUCUAAGCCUGUUCAUGCUUCAUCUGGAUUGGGUGACACAAGUAUAGGAAACCCAGAUGGUUGGCACAGGUCACUGUAUAUUCUUCCUGGAUGUGAUGAAUGGCCUCUCCAGAAAAAGAAGUCGGACAUGAAUCUAUGGAGGUGAAACAGAAACAGAAAAACGGGGAUUCCGCAUUCAGAUGAUUGCACAGAUCACUGUGUUUUCAUUCCUACAAAAGAUGACACAUCCACUUUUGGACCAUUUCUUUGUGCCCUGUAUAGCAGCAUUUAUUAAGGAAAUCAAAAUUUAUUUUUAUGACAGAAAAAAAUGAUACAUUGCUAGAUAGUAGAGGAAUGUACUUGUUCAUUGAUUUUCCUGGAACAAAAAGGUCAACCACUCAAUUAUGAGGCUACUUUAGCAGUGUUGCUUGUUGUUAACUAUAGGUUCUUGUGUAGUGGCCUACAUAAGCCAUUAUUGAAAGUUCUUGGAGUCAGGUUUUGUGAGCAUGCAGGGUCAUGCAUUGAUAUGUAUGAAAAGGAGCUCUCAAUAAAAAUGUCAGACCAUAGAAAA